rnacentral:rRNA from 1 species
GAUGAACGCUGGCGGCGUGCUUAACACAUGCAAGUCGAACGGAAAGGCCCUUCCUUUCUGGGGUACUCGAGUGGCGAACGGGUGAGUAACACGUGUGUAACCUGCCCUGCACUUUGGGAUAAGCUCAGGAAACUGGGGCUAAUACCGGAUAGGACACUGGUUUGGAUGGCAGGGGGGGGAGAUUUUGCGGUGUGGGGUUUGCUCGCGGCGUAUCCGCGUGUUGGUGGGGUAGUGGCGUACCACGACGUCGACGGGUAGCCGGCCUGAGAGGGUGUACGGCGACAUUGGGACUGAGAUACGGACCAGACUCCUACGGGAGGCAGCAGUGGGGAAUAUUGCACAAUGGGCGCAAGCCUGAUGCAGCGACGCCGCGUGCGGGAUGACGGCCUUCGGGGUGUAAACAGCUUUCGCUUGAGACGAAGCGUGAGUGACGGUACCGGGAGAAGAAGCACCGGCUAACUACGUG